ACCAGAAUUCCAGCUCCGCCCUCUGUGCGGCCUCAAGGGAGUUAUGAACUUCUGAGCCUUAGACAUGCUUCCUGAGCUGCCACCAAGCUGCCUCAUGGGGCUGUCCUAAGGAUUAAUGUAUUAAUCCAAUCCCAGGCACAUCAGUCAUUAAUAAAAUUAAGAAUACGGUGACAACUAAGCCCACUACCUUUGGAAGUAACUCCUUACUAACUACAUUAAACCCAAACUCGAGGCUCUGGAAAAGAGAAUGCCAGCUGGGAGACAAAACGGCAGAAAGGAAGGUUUCUCCAGGCUCUGGCCAGACAAAAUCCUUCUCUGCAGAGGAUGCUGCUCCAGGGUCCCAAC
rnacentral:lncRNA from 1 species